GAUGAAGAACGUAGCGAAAUGCGAUACGUAGUGUGAAUUGCAGAAUUCAGUGAAUCAUCGAAUCUUUGAACGCACAUUGCACCUCUCGGUAUUCCGGGAGGUAUGCCUGUUCGAGCGUCAUUUGUACCCUCAAGCUCUGCUUGGUGUUGGGUGUUUGUUCCGCCUCUGUGUGUGAACUCGCCUCAAAACAAUUGGGCAGCCGGCGUACUUGUUUCGGAGCGCAGCACAUUUUGCGAUCCAGAUCAACGUACAGCGGCAUCCAAGAAGCCUUAUUUAACGCUCUUGACCUCGGAUCAGGUAGGGAUACCCGCUGAACUUAAGCAUAUCAAUAAGCGGAGGA
rnacentral:misc_RNA from 1 species